UCAUUAACGAGAAAGUAUGACCUCAACCUGGGUGUAAUGGAGCUGCCACUGGGUGAAUUCAGGGGAUUGAGUCAGUUGAUCUCUGAGUGCUGCUCCAAGAAGUCUCGGUGUCAGAGUUGUUGCACUGAAUCUUGCAUCUGAUAUGGAAGGGUCAUGCAGCCGGAUCUGCUUGUGACCUCAAAAUGGUAUGUAUGCUAUGAAGCAAACAGCAUCCAUGCUCCAUCCUCCCAUUCCUAAAAGCAACAAAAGCCUAGUGGAACAUAUUGACUCACUGUUGUCAACAUAAUGAUAGUGUUUGUAAAAUAAACUCCUACCAAACACUCCAAUAAUUAGAAUGUCUCUUUUCCCCCUCCCAACCUUAUGUUCCUUUCAACACAAUGACAUCAAUGUUCAUUAAUUCUAUA